GCUACGGGUGGCUGCAGUGAGGAAUAUUGGUCAAUGGACGAGAGUCUGAACCAGCCAAGUAGCGUGAAGGAUGACGGCUCUAUGGGUUGUACACUUCUUUUAUAUGGGAAUAAAGAUAUCCACGUGUGGGUAUUUGUAUGUACCCUAUGAAUAAGAAUCGGCUAACUCCGUGCCAGCAGCCGCGGUAAUACGGAGGAUCCGAGCGUUAUACGGAUUUAUUGGGUUUAAAGGGAGCGUAGGUUGUUUGUUAAGUCAGUUGUGAAAGUUUGCGGCUCAACCGUAAAAUUGCAGUUGAAACUGGCAGUCUUGAGUAUGGUAGAGGUAGGAGGAAUUCGUGGUGGAGCGGUGAAAUGCUUAGAUAUCACGAAGAACUCCGAUUGCGAAGGCAGCUCACUAGACUGCAACUGACACUGAGGCUCGAAAGUGUGGGUAUCAAACAGGAUUAGAUACCCGAGUAGUC
rnacentral:rRNA from 1 species